GGAAUAUUGCACAAUGGGCGCAAGCCUGAUGCAGCAACGCCGCGUGAGGGAUGACGGCCUUCGGGUUGUAAACCUCUUUUAGCAGGGAAGAAGCGAAAGUGACGGUACCUGCAGAAAAAGCGCCGGCUAACUACGUGCCAGCAGCCGCGGUAAUACGUAGGGCGCAAGCGUUAUCCGGAAUUAUUGGGCGUAAAGAGCUCGUAGGCGGUUUGUCGCGUCUGCUGUGAAAUCCGGAGGCUCAACCUCCGGCCUGCAGUGGGUACGGGCAGACUAGAGUGCGGUAGGGGAGAUUGGAAUUCCUGGUGUAGCGGUGGAAUGCGCAGAUAUCAGGAGGAACACCGAUGGCGAAGGCAGAUCUCUGGGCCGUAACUGACGCUGAGGAGCGAAAGGGUGGGGAGCAAACA
rnacentral:rRNA from 1 species